GAUGAACGCUAGCGGCAGGCUUAAUACAUGCAAGUCGAGGGACAGCACAGGUAGCAAUACUGGGUGGUAACCGGCAAACGGGUGCGGAACACGUACACAACCUUCCUUUAAAUGGGGGAUAGCCCAGAGAAAUUUGGAUUAAUACCCCGUAAUAUAGUUGAAUGGCAUCAUUUGAUUAUUAUAGCUACGGCGCUUAAUGAUGGGUGUGCGGCUGAUUAGAUAGUUGGCGGGGUAACGGCCCACCAAGUCUACGAUCAGUAGCAGAGUGAGAGCAUGAUCAGCCACACGGGCACUGAGACACGGGCCCGACUCCUACGGGAGGCAGCAGUAAGGAAUAGUGGUCAAUGGACGCAAGUCUGAACCAGCCAUGCCGCGUGAAGGAUUAAGGUCCUCUGGAUUGUAAACUUCUUUUAUUUGGGACGAAAAAGGGCCUUUCUAGGUCAACUGACGGUACCGGAUGAAUAAGCACCGGCUAACUCCGUGCCAGCCGCCGCAGUAAGAC
rnacentral:rRNA from 1 species